CGUAGGUGAACCUGCGGAGGGAUCAUUACACAAUACAAUAUGAAGGCUGUCCGCAGCUGGAGUAUUUUAUUACCCUUGUCUUUUGCGCACUUGUUGUUUCCUGGGCGGGUUCGCUCGCCACCAGGACCACCAAAUAAACCUUUUUUAUGCAGUUGCAAUCAGCGUCAGUACAAACAAUGUAAAUCAUUUACAACUUUCAACAACGGAUCUCUUGGUUCUGGCAUCGAUGAAGAACGCAGCGAAAUGCGAUACGUAGUGUGAAUUGCAGAAUUCAGUGAAUCAUCGAAUCUUUGAACGCACAUUGCGCCCUUUGGUAUUCCAAAGGGCAUGCCUGUUCGAGCGUCAUUUGUACCCUCAAGCUUUGCUUGGUGUUGGGCGUUUUUGUCUUUGGUCGCCCAAAGACUCGCCUUAAAGUGAUUGGCAGCCGGCCUUUCUGGUUUCGCAGCGCAGCACAUUUUUGCGCUUGCCAUCAGCAAAACGGCAAUCCAUCAAGCCUCCUUCUCACGUUUGACCUCGGAUCAGGUAGGGAUACCCGCUGAACUUAAGCAUAUCAAUAAGCGGA
rnacentral:rRNA from 1 species